rnacentral:rRNA from 1 species
UACAGGGGGGUGCAAACGUUGCUCGGAAUCAUUGGGCGUAAAGCGCACGUAGGCGGUCUGUUAUGUCGGAUGUGAAAGCCCUUGGCUUAACUGAGGAAGUGCAUCCGAAACUGGCAGGCUAGAGUACUAAAGAGGGUCGCGGAAUUCCCGGUGUAGAGGUGAAAUUCGUAGAUAUCGGGAGGAACACCGGUGGCGAAGGCGGCGACCUGGGUAGAUACUGACGCUGAGGUGCGAAAGCGUGGGGAGCGAACAGG